rnacentral:rRNA from 1 species
CCUACGGGAGGCAGCAGUGGGGAAUAUUGCACAAUGGGGGAAACCCUGAUGCAGCGACGCCGCGUGAGUGAAGAAGUAAUUCGUUAUGUAAAGCUCUAUCAGCAGGGAAGAAAAUGACGGUACCUGAGUAAGAAGCCCCGGCUAACUACGUGCCAGCCGCCGCGGUCAUACGUAGGGGGCAAGCGUUAUCCGGAUUUACUGGGUGUAAAGGGAGCGUAGACGGCAGUGCAAGUCUGGAGUGAAAGGCGGGGGCUCAACCCCCGGACUGCUCUGGAAACUGUACGGCUGGAGUGCAGGAGAGGUAAGUGGAAUUCCUAGUGUAGCGGUGAAAUGCGUAGAUAUUAGGAGGAACACCAGUGGCGAAGGCGGCUUACUGGACUGUAACUGACGUUGAGGCUCGAAAGCGUGGGGAGCAAACAGGAUUAGAUACCCCAGUAGUC